rnacentral:rRNA from 1 species
UACGUAGGUGGCGAGCGUUGUCCGGAUUUAUUGGGCGUAAAGCGCGCGCAGGUGGUGCGGUAAGUCUGUCGUGAAAUCUCCCAGCUCAACUGGGAGGGUGCGGUGGAGACUGCCGGACUGGAGGCACUCAGAGGCCGGUGGAAUUCCCGGUGUAGUGGUGAAAUGCGUAGAGAUCGGGAGGAACACCAGUGGCGAAGGCGGUCGGCUGGGGGUGACCUGACGCUGAGGCGCGAAAGCGUGGGGAGCGAACCGG